AGGGAACCCGGUGCGAGGCCGGGACUGACGCGCAGCGGUAUGGGUGACGGACGGGGCUCCUGUCGAGAGGCAGGCCACUGGACCAGCGACAUCGGUCCGGGAAGGUGCUCCGCGCCGGGUGAUCCCGAGUCCGAAGACCU
rnacentral:misc_RNA from 1 species